rnacentral:lncRNA from 12 species
UUUUGUCUCAACAAUCCUUUCUGAAUGAUUCUCUCUUGUUCUGGCAUCACAAUAUACUCACCUUGUGCCACUUUGCAACUGGAUUUUGAAGAUGCCAAGGGCCAGGACACUCCUGUGAACCUCACUGACAGCUGGAUGGACCUGGCAGAGAGAACUCAUCUGGUGGGUAAGCACUCAGAAAUGGAGUUUCCAUGUGUCCUGAUAGUGCCAAGACUCCAAAGCACAGGCUGUUCCCCAUCAGUUUAAUGAUUAAGGGCUGAACAUUUGGAUCUGGGCUCACCCACUCACACUCUGGACAUUUACUGGAGCUGUCAAGUUGAUUGUUCAGCAGGUCCCAGCUCUAGGGAAGGUGAGUGUGGCAGGCAGGAUUGUCCAUCCCAAGUACUUCUCUCCCCCAUUCCCUAUCCUCCUCCAUGCUGGCAGCUAAUUACGGCUUAGCACUAAUGGGAAAACUCCACAUUCACAGUGUGUCAGGGAAACCAGAUCUGUGGCAAAGAAACACAAGGAGGAGCACAGGUUAGACCAUCUCUCAUGGACGGGGGAACAGGGAGUCUGUACUUGCCUCUUCAACAAAGAAGAACAAGACAGGGUAGUAUCCUUCUCUUCAGUGUCCUCACUGAAUGUCCUUCCAACCCAGCUGAGUCAAACCAGGGAAAAUUAAAG